GCUGGGCGUGGUGGCUCACACCUGUAAUCCGAGCCCUCUGGGAGGCUGAGGCAGGUGGAUCACUUGAGGUCAGGAGUUCUAGCUGCCUGGCCAACACAGUGAAACCCUGUCUCUA
rnacentral:SRP_RNA from 1 species